GGCAUCUGUUGCAGCUAGCGGGUGUUUUAUCUGGUAGCUGUACCCUUUUGAAUCUAUCAUAAGACACACGCGGCUAUGACCGAUGCCC
rnacentral:pre_miRNA from 2 species